rnacentral:tRNA from 1 species
AUGUAGCUCAGUGGUAAAGCACUUGCCUUACAGGUAUGUAGGCCCUAGGUUCAAGUCCCAGCAU